GUGACCUCGGAUCAGUAGA
rnacentral:rRNA from 1 species